GAGAGAAGCCCGGUAGGCCGCAGAAACUGCUAAUUUCCUGCCCCCAGAGUUCAACCCCCUGGUUCACUCG
rnacentral:tRNA from 1 species